rnacentral:rRNA from 1 species
GUGUCAGCCGCCGCGGUAAUACGUAGGGGGCGAGCGUUGUCCGGAUUCAUUGGGCGUAAAGCGCGCGUAGGCGGCCCCGCAAGUCGGCCGUGAAAUCUCCGGGCUCAACUCGGAGGGGUCGGGCGAGACUGCGGGGCUCGAGGUGGGCAGAGGGCAGUGGAAUUCCGGGUGUAGUGGUGGAAUGCGUAGAGAUCCGGAGGAACACCAGUGGCGAAGGCGGCUGCCUGGGCCUGGCCUGACGCUGAGGCGCGAAAGCGUGGGGAGCAAUCCGGAUUAGAAACCCUAGUAGUCC